GACCAGACUCCUACGGGAGGCAGCAGUGGGGAAUAUUGCACAAUGGGGGAAACCCUGAUGCAGCGACGCCGCGUGAGCGAUGAAGUAUUUCGGUAUGUAAAGCUCUAUCAGCAGGGAAGAAGAUGACGGUACCUGACUAAGAAGCCCCGGCUAACUACGUGCCAGCAGCCGCGGUAAUACGUAGGGGGCAAGCGUUAUCCGGAUUUACUGGGUGUAAAGGGAGCGUAGACGGCGAUGCAAGCCAGAUGUGAAAGCCCGGGGCUCAACCCCGGGACUGCAUUUGGAACUGUGUGGCUGGAGUGUCGGAGAGGCAGGCGGAAUUCCUAGUGUAGCGGUGAAAUGCGUAGAUAUCAGGAGGAACACCGGUGGCGAAGGCGGCUUACUGGACAGUGACUGACGUUGAGGCUCGAAAGCGUGGGGAGCGAACAGGAUUAGAUACCCGUGUA
rnacentral:rRNA from 1 species